ACCCCAAUCUCUUAUUUCUCUCCAUCAAAUUCCCCACUAAAUCCACUACUCAGAUUUUUAGUCCAUCUCAAACUCUCCUCCUGGACGCACGAGCAAAAAUAAUGGUCACGCUAAGAUUCGAACACAGGACCUCCUUCACACCAACACUCCACUUAUCCACCAGACCAACAAGUCCAUUCUGUUAAUUAUUUGCCAACUUUUGCUUAAAAGCCUACUGACCAAAGAUAGGGCUUAUUCAUAAAAAUACCAAAAUUUGUCCAAGCCCUGGCUUGAACUUCAGACCUUCUAAACA
rnacentral:lncRNA from 1 species